UUGGAUGUUUACUGAGGGCUGAGGGGUGUGUGCAGGUGUGUGUCUGCUGCGCAGCCUGUGGAAUGUUGAAUACACGCACAGCGGAGGGAGGGAUGAAAGGGAAGCCGACACUACUAUAUCGUGUGUGUCCCUUUUUCGGCGGAUUUUUCCGCUAGUGCAGAUAAUUUUGUCAACUUGUAAUGUAGUAAUUUUGUGAGUUUAUUAAAAUUUGCUUUCUCAAAUUUUGAUUUGAGGGGGCAAGACAUUUAUUUAAGGGGGCCCUGCCCCCUCUUGCCCAUGCGUAGAGCCGGUGUUGUGCCGAAUUCUGCACCCCCGCCGUAAAAUGCACCCCCUGUCGGGAGCGCGCUUACGUCACUCGGUUGCGUCACCCGUCUCGAAAAGUAGCUAAACUCGGCUAAAAUCGCCUCUUUCGGCAUAAAAAUGUACAUAACAAGGUGAAUAAUCCAAGUUGUCUUUACUUUGGAUAUAUUAAUGGAUGGAUUAAUUGUGAUUCUUCAAUGAUUUCGCCGUCAUUGCCUUUAAUGAUUUCGUCGUCAUUCAGAGACAUCAAGGAGAACGAAUGUUUGCUGCUUCACUCGACGGGAUCCAAUACAUGUAUUUUAAAAAUAUGACAUUUUCUUUAACUGUAAGAAGCUCAUGGGUGGAUAGAUGAAUACAUUAAUAAAUGAAUGCAUCUGA